AUCUGUCUGCACCCGGCGUGGCCCAGCUGGGACCCUCCUCACCUUAGAUGAUGGGUCCCUAGAUGAUGAGCUCCGGGGAGGAGCCUCUCAGGGUGACCCAGCGGCCCUACUCCUGCCAAAGACUCCCCAGAAGGCCGGACUGGUCCCCUCCCCAACUCCCCCCACCAAGCUGUGCAGGGUGGCCGGGCCAAGGCUUCCCUGGGAUGUGGGCUCAGCCCGGGCAGGGUGGGGCGGGCGGCUAAGGCCCAUCUUGCGGAUGAUGUGGCCGUUCCGGGGCCACCUGUGUGCAUGACACAAGGUCCUGGGGCAGGGCCAGGCCUGGCGCCGGGCUGUGUGGCAUUAGGUACAGCCAUGGGCGCUGACUCGGCGGCGGGGAGGGAAGGCGGCCACGAGAGGGAGGAGGAAGGCGGUGAGCUUCCAAAAUUAGCCACGACACGAAGCGGGGAUUAUCAUGGCCCCGCUCACUGACGGGUCUUUGGGGACAAGCGGCCAAACACGGCUGUCCUGGGCACAGACAAUGAACAGAGACGUUCCCCCUUUUCCUGAGGGCACCUGGGGACUGGGCAGAGCUAGCGCCCAGCCCUGCCCGGUGGCAAAGGCCACAGCCUUCCCUGCAGACGGGCCAAGGGGGUGCAGGGAGCCGGAGCGCGGGUGACCAGGCAACGAGGAGAGGGACGGACAGCACACCCCAUCUGGGGAAGAGGCCAAGGGGUGCCACGGCUCCAGAACAUCGCCCGCGGCAGGGCGGGCGGUGGCUCUUCCCCCCAACACAGGGCAGCCUGCCCUAGGGUCAGGGUGGGUCUUAAGGCCCCCGGAGUGAGUUGGUGGGUUUGGGCUGGUGUCCCCCGCCACCACCCUGAGCCCCCAGGCUCCGGGAACAGGAAAUGCCCCGAGGAGACGGCUGGAGGGCAAGGUCAGGCAGCCGGUCGCCAGGGUACGGGCUGGGGGGCGGCCGGCUGGGGACUGCGUUCGGCCACACACGAUAAGAGAGCUCUGACGAAACAACCAGCCCAGACCGCAGCCUCGUGCACGCCGGGUUCCUCCCCCCGACAGCCAACGGGAACAGGUGCAGGCCAGCCACGCGGUAACCACAGAGCCACGGGUGUGUGCCGCCCACGGAGGACACGGGGGCCGGCCAGGUGAUGCCACUCACCAGUGAGUGCUCGCAAUUAGGGUCGUUAACUCCUCCUUGUUCAGCAACAUUAAGUAACCAAGUAAAGACCCCACGACCGGACGGCGGCUUUGACCGGACCCCGGCGAGACGUCAGCCCCGUGUCUGGGACAGGCAGGAUGGCCGGCCGGCGUCUGGAGCGGGGACGACCCGCCCCUUCUCUGCAAGGGGCUGCGGUUGGUCUCCGUCCCCACUCAGAGCCCCUUGGGGGAGAAGUGGGAGCGGCGCCUCCCCCUGCAGUGGCCUCGGUCCCUCCCCUGUCCUUGAGGACACCCGUGGAGCCUCCCGGAGGCAGCGGUGACAUAAUCAGCCCGGGAGACAGCCAGAGUGACCUGGUGGCACUUGGAGGGGCAGCGAUGAGCUGUGCCCUGGAUCCAAUGACAAGUGUCCUUAGAAGAAGAGGAGAGACACAGACACAGAGGAGAAGCCACAUGAAAACGGAGGCGGAGACUGGAGCCCCCAGAAGCUGGAAGAGGCAGGAGGGAGCCUCCCCUGGAGCCCUUCGGGGUGAGGGCUUGGCCCUGCCCCCCUGGAUCUCUGACUUUGGGUCUCCAGACUGUGAGCGGCUCGACUUCUGUUCCCUGAGCCACCAGUUUGUGAUAAGGUGAGGCGAAUCAAAAGGAACACAUCUUCUGUGAUUUGUUCACACCAGUCAACUUUUCCAUCAAUAAAAAAGUCCAUUUUGCUCAUCCGAUGCCAACGGAAUGCGAUCUUUUCUAAGAUGUCAGAAUUCAGUGACUCAUUCACUUAUUUCAUCCCAUUUACGUCUGAGAGUCAAACGGCAUCUGGAGACAGAAUUCCUCAUUAGAGAACAAGUCAUUAAGAAGUCAGCAUGGAAACACAGACCCGAGCACUGCCUCACGUCGGUGGCAAAGCUUGGGGCCUGGCUCUCCUCCACGUCCAGGCAGCAGAGGCCUGGGGCUGGGCCGUCUGCACCCCGCUAAGUGGAGGUCCCUGAGCUCCAGCCCAUGGCUGCCCUUUGAGAACACAGGCCCAGCAAAAAACUUCUGAUUUUUCUCAAGACAAAAGCUUUUUACAUGCAUUGCCCGGCUCACACACGUCAGCAGGAAAUGACAGAUAUCCAGGGCAUGGGCCAAGUACGGCCACCGGGAGCCCCCCAGUGCCCUGGGGCCUCGAACUGCCCUGGAAGCUGCUCUGACCCCAGGGUGCCGGCCACUCCUCCGGGCCAGCUGGCCCCCCCAAACCUGCUUU